rnacentral:siRNA from 1 species
UACAAGCUGCUACAUGGCGAGGUA